CAACCCUCGGUCACCACCGGUUUUGAGCGAGCUGGGUCCCACGGACCCGGCCGGCUUUAAAGUUGUAAGCUCUGCUGGCUGCUCAGCCCAACCAGAACAUAGUAAAACCUACUUGUUCGCGGGUCAAGGUUGAAGCGGUACGGCCUGAACAAUACCUACCAAACUCUAAG
rnacentral:misc_RNA from 1 species